CAAGUGCAAGUAAAAUUUCAAGUAAAUUAAAAAAAAAACAAGACAAAGAUAAGCUUAUUUAAAACCAUGCUCGGAGCGGAAUGCGUUGUUGCAGGACUAAAUGAACUACUCUGGGAAGAGACAGGUCGGGUUAAUAAAAUAUAAAAAUUUCAUCAAUGCUUUAUAUGAGUCACUUCGAAACGAUCACUAUUCAUUUCGCCAAUUCCAAGAUGACCUGCGUUCGUCAUUUCUAAAAGCGAAGAACAAAAUAUACAAACAUGCAUAUGAGAAAAAAAAGG